CUCCCAAAAAUCGGAAGCUUUGUCACGCCCAUGGCUGUAUUAGGAGAACGGUCACGCCCCAACAUUAACAUACAGGUCACUGACCUGAGACCAGUU